rnacentral:rRNA from 1 species
AUUGAACGCUGGCGGCAGGCCUAACACAUGCAAGUCGAGCGAGCGGCGGACGGGGGAGUAAUGUAGGGGGACUGCGCGAAAGAGGGGGAUAACUACUGGAAACGGUUGCUAAUACCGCAUACUGUCAGAUACCGCAUCUGGGAUUAGCAAGUAGGUAAGGUAAUGGCUUACCUAGGCGACGAUCCCGAGCUGGUCGGAGAGGAUGAUCAGCCACACUGGGACGGAGACACGGCCCAGACUCCUACGGAGGCAGCAGUGGGGAAUAUUGCACAAUGGGCGCAAGUCUGAUGCAGCCAUGCCGCGUGUAUGAAGAAGGCCUUCGGGUUGUAAAGUACUUUCAGUCGGGAGGCGUUACCGACAGAAGAAGCCCCGGCUAACUCCGUGCCAGCAGCCGCGGUAAUUC